CUACGGGUGACAGCAGUAGGGAAUCUUAGACAAUGGGGGAAACCCUGAUCUAGCCAUGCCGCGUGAGUGAUGAAGGCCUUAGGGUUGUAAAGCUCUUUCGCUGGGGAAGAUAAUGACGGUACCCAGUAAAGAAACCCCGGCUAACUCCGUGCCAGCAGCCGCGGUAAUACGGAGGGGGUUAGCGUUGUUCGGAAUUACUGGGCGUAAAGCGCGCGUAGGCGGGCUAUUAAGUCAGGGGUGAAAUCCCGGGGCUCAACCCCGGAACUGCCUUUGAUACUGGUAGUCUUGAGUUCGAGAGAGGUGAGUGGAAUUCCGAGUGUAGAGGUGAAAUUCGUAGAUAUUCGGAGGAACAUCAGUGGCGAAGGCGACUCACUGGCUCGAUACUGACGCUGAGGUGCGAAAGUGUGGGGAGCAAACAGGAUUAGAUACCCGGGUAGUC
rnacentral:rRNA from 1 species